GGGGCCGUAGUCUAGCUUGGACUAGGAUGCCAGGCUUGGGCCCUGGUGGUCCCGGGUUCAAAUCCCGGCGGCCCCA
rfam:Sulfolobus acidocaldarius DSM 639, complete genome.